AUUUCUUAUCAGUUGCAGAUACAUUUUUAAAAAUUGAGUCAACAUCGCACCAGUAUCAAGGACAUAGUGUAAUACAUCAUCAACAACUGCUGCACUUGCAAGGCCAGCUGUACAUUAUCAACAAUUUAGUGAACAAGCAAUGCUGCUUUUGAUGGUAUAAUUGUCUGCGGCAUGGACUGAGGUACAACUACGGAUAGUGGAGGUGUCGAUGAUGAAGCUAUCAAAAUCUUGCAGUCGUAAGGACGCAUCACUCAAGACUUUGUCAGUACUGCUUUACAAGUGUACAAUCAAUUUUGUAUUUGUUGGCAUCGUGGUCUAGUAGAUGUAGAGGAGUAGGUUUGAGAAAAAAGGCCAUAUGUCUAAUAAUCGAUCACACUGGAUCUUAAUAAAUGUAUAAAUUUCAGGAGCUAUAUGCUCUAUAUAAUUAAUGUAAUUUCAUGUGAUUAAUAUAAUUAAUGUUUUUACAGGUACAUUGGUUAUAAC